GAUGAAGAACGCAGCGAAAUGCGAUAAGUAAUGUGAAUUGCAGAAUUCAGUGAAUCAUCGAAUCUUUGAACGCACAUCGCGCCCCCUGGUAUUCCGGGGGGCAUGCCUGUCCGAGCGUCAUUACAACCCUCAAGCUCAGCUUGGUAUUGGGCCCCGCCGACCCGGCGGGCCCUAAAGUCAGUGGCGGUGCCGUCCGGCUCCGAGCGUAGUAAUUCUUCUCGCUCUGGAGGUCCGGUCGUGUGCUCGCCAGCAACCCCCAAUUUUUUUCAGGUUGACCUCGGAUCAGGUAGGGAUACCCGCUGAACUUAAGCAUAUCAAUAAGCGGAGGA
rnacentral:misc_RNA from 1 species